GAUGAACGCUAGCUACAGGCUUAACACAUGCAAGUCGCGGGGCAGCAUGGGGGUUGCUUGCAAUCCCCGAUGGCGACCGGCGCACGGGUGAGUAACGCGUAUCCAACCUGCCCUUCACCACGGGAUAACCCGGCGAAAGUCGGACUAAUACCGUAUGUUGUCCAUUGACGGCAUCCGAUUUGGACGAAAGGUUUGGCGGUGAAGGAUGGGGAUGCGUCCGAUUAGCUGGACGGCGGGGUGACGGCCCACCGUGGCGACGAUCGGUAGGGGUUCUGAGAGGAAGGUCCCCCACACUGGAACUGAGACACGGUCCAGACUCCUACGGGAGGCAGCAGUGAGGAAUAUUGAUCAAUGGGCGUAAGCCUGAACCAGCCAAGUAGCGUGCAGGAUGACGGCCCUAUGGGUUGUAAACUGCUUUUAUGCGGGGAUAAACUGGCCCACGUGUGGGUUUUUGCAGGUACCGCAUGAAUAAGGACCGGCUAAUUCCGUG
rnacentral:rRNA from 1 species